GCCUCUGUGGAUUAGUGGUUAAAUCACCUCGAUUAGGUUUCGCGAGAUUUCUGAAAUUUUCGAGGAGGUGUGGGUUCGACUCUCACCAGAGGCA